rnacentral:rRNA from 1 species
AGUCAACCUAACUCGUGGACGUGGAUAACCUCGGGAAACUGAGAAUAAACCACGAUAGAUCAUAGUGCCUGGAAUGGCUUAUGGUCCAAACAGUUUACUGCCAUGGGAUGGGACUGCGGCCUAUCAGCUUGUUGGUGAGGUAAUGGCCCACCAAGGCGAUUACAGGUACGGGCUCUGAGAGGAGAAGCCCGGAGAUGGGUACUGAGACACGGACCCAGGCCCUAUGGGGCGCAGCAGGCGAGAAACCUUAGCAAUGUGCGAAAGCACGACUGGGUCAGUCCGAGUGAUUCCUGAUAAAGGAGUCUUUUGCUUGUCCUAAAAGCACAGGUGAAUAAGGGGUGGGCAAGUCUGGUGUCAGCCGCCGCGGUAAUACCAGCACCUCGAGUGGUCAGGACGUUUAUUGGGCCUAAAGCAUCCGUAGCCGGCUUUGCAAGUCUUCGGUUAAAUCCACCUGCUCAACAGAUGGGCCGCUGGAGAUACUACAAAGCUAGGGAGUGGGAGAGGCAGACGGUAUUCAGUGGGUAGGGGUAAAAUCCUCUGAUCCAUUGAGGACCACCAGUGGCGAAGGCGGUCUGCCAGAACACGUUCGACGGUGAGGGAUGAAAGCUGGGGGAGCAAACCGGAUUAGAUACCCGGGUAGUCCCAGCUGUAAACGAUGCAAACUCGGUGAUGCAUUGGC